rnacentral:rRNA from 1 species
AUUGAACGCUGGCGGCAGGCCUAACACAUGCAAGUCGAGCGGCAGCGGGAAAGUAGCUUGCUACUUUUGCCGGCGAGCGGCGGACGGGUGAGUAAUGCCUGGGGAUCUGCCCAGUCGAGGGGGAUAACUACUGGAAACGGUAGCUAAUACCGCAUACGCCCUACGGGGGAAAGCAGGGGACCUUCGGGCCUUGCGCGAUUGGAUGAACCCAGGUGGGAUUAGCUAGUUGGGGAGGUAACGGCUCACCAAGGCGACGAUCCCUAGUUGGUCUGAGAGGAUGAUCAGCCACACUGGAACUGAGACACGGUCCAGACUCCUACGGGAGGCAGCAGUGGGGAAUAUUGCACAAUGGGGGAAACCCUGAUGCAGCCAUGCCGCGUGUGUGAAGAAGGCCUUCGGGUUGUAAAGCACUUUCAGCGAGGAGGAAAGGUCAGUAGCUAAUAUCUGCUGGCUGUGACGUUACUCGCAGAAGAAGCACCGGCUAACUCCGUGCCAGCCGCCGCGGUAA